AGAGUUUGAUCAUGGCUCAGGACGAACGCUGGCGGCGUGCUUAACACAUGCAAGUCGAACGAUGAAGCCGGAGCUUGCUCUGGUGGAUUAGUGGCGAACGGGUGAGUAACACGUGAGUAACCUGCCCAUGACUCUGGGAUAACUGCGGGAAACUGUAGCUAAUACCGGAUACGACCCUCGGAGGCAUCUCCUGGGGGUGGAAAGAAUUUCGGUCAUGGAUGGACUCGCGGCCUAUCAGCUAGUUGGUGAGGUAAAGGCUCACCAAGGCGACGACGGGUAGCCGGCCUGAGAGGGUGACCGGCCACACUGGGACUGAGACACGGCCCAGACUCCUACGGGAGGCAGCAGUGGGGAAUAUUGCACAAUGGGCGCAAGCCUGAUGCAGCAACGCCGCGUGAGGGACGACGGCCUUCGGGUUGUAAACCUCUUUUAGUAGGGAAGAAGCGAAAGUGACGGUACCUGCAGAAAAAGCACCGGCUAACUACGUGCCAGCAGCCGCGGUAAUACGUAGGGUGCAAGCGUUGUCCGGAAUUAUUGGGCGUAAAGAGCUCGUAGGCGGUUUGUCGCGUCUGCUGUGAAACCCCGAGGCUCAACCUCGGGCCUGCAGUGGGUACGGGCAAGCUAGAGUGCGGUAGGGGAGAUUGGAAUUCCUGGUGUAGCGGUGGAAUGCGCAGAUAUCAGGAGGAACACCAAUGGCGAAGGCAGAUCUCUGGGCCGUUACUGACGCUGAGGAGCGAAAGCGUGGGGAGCGAACAGGAUUAGAUACCCUGGUAGUCCACGCCGUAAACGUUGGGAACUAGAUGUAGGGACCAUUCCACGGUUUCUGUGUCGCAGCUAACGCAUUAAGUU
rnacentral:rRNA from 1 species